rnacentral:rRNA from 1 species
UAGAUAGCCUUCAGGAAACUUCCGGGGCUGAAGGAGGGGGCUGCGGCUCAUCAGGUAGUUGGUGAGGUAACGGCUCACCAAGCCGACGACGAGUAGGGGACCUGAGAGGGUGACCCCCCACACUGGAACUGACACACGGUCCAGACUCCUACGGGAGGCAGCAGUAAGGAAUAUUGGGCAAUGGGCGAAAGCCUGACCCAGCAACGCCGCGUGGAGGACGAAGGUCUUCGGGAUCGUAAACUCCUUUUGAGAGGGGACGAGGGCAGGGACGGGUACCUCUUGGAAUAAGGUGACGGGCUAACUACGUGCCAGCAGCCGCCGUAAC